rnacentral:rRNA from 1 species
AGAGCGAACGCUGGCGGCAGGCCUAAUACAUGCAAGUCGAACGGAUCCUUCGGGAUUAGUGGCGGACGGGUGAGUAACACGUGGGAACGUGCCCUUUGGUUCAGAACAACUCAGGGAAACUUGAGCUAAUACUGGAUAAGCCCUUCGGGGGAAAGAUUUAUCGCCAUUGGAGCGGCCCGCGUCUGAUUAGCUAGUUGGUAGGGUAAAGGCCUACCAAGGCUACGAUCAGUAGCUGGUCUGAGAGGAUGAUCAGCCACACUGGGACUGAGACACGGCCCAGACUCCUACGGGAGGCAGCAGUAGGGAAUCUUGCGCAAUGGGCGAAAGCCUGACGCAGCGACGCCGCGUGCGGGAUGAAGGCCUUCGGGUUGUAAACCGCUUUCAGCAGGGACGAAAUUGACGGUACCUGCAGAGAAGGCCCGGCAACUACGCGCCAGCAGCCGC